rnacentral:rRNA from 1 species
UGGGGAAUAUUGCACAAUGGGCGAAAGCCUGAUGCAGCAACGCCGCGUGAGUGAUGAAGGCCUUCGGGUUGUAAAGCUCUGUCUUUUGGGACGAUAAUGACGGUACCAAAGGAGGAAGCCACGGCUAACUACGUGCCAGCAGCCGCGGUAAUACGUAGGUGGCAAGCGUUGUCCGGAUUUACUGGGCGUAAAGGAUGCGUAGGCGGAUUUUUAAGUGAGAUGUGAAAUACCCGGGCUUAACUUGGGUGCUGCAUUUCAAACUGGGAAUCUAGAGUGCGGGAGAGGAGAAUGGAAUUCCUAGUGUAGCGGUGAAAUGCGUAGAGAUUAGGAAGAACACCAGUGGCGAAGGCGAUUCUCUGGACCGUAACUGACGCUGAGGCAUGAAAGCGUGGGUAGCAAACAGGAUUAGAUACCCUGGUAGUCCACGCCGUAAACGAUGAGUACUAGGUGUAGGAGGUAUCGACCCCUUCUGUGCCGCAGUUAACACAAUCAAGUACUCCGCCUGGGAAGUACGAUCGCAAGAUUAAAACUUAAAUGAAUUGACGGGGUCAUAGCUGUUUCUU